rnacentral:rRNA from 1 species
AACGAACGCUGGCGGCAUGCCUAACACAUGCAAGUCGAACGAGACCUUCGGGUCUAGUGGCGCACGGGUGCGUAACGCGUGGGAAUCUGCCCUUGGGUUCGGAAUAACAGUGAGAAAUUACUGCUAAUACCGGAUGAUGUCUUCGGACCAAAGAUUUAUCGCCCAGGGAUGAGCCCGCGUAGGAUUAGCUAGUUGGUGGGGUAAUGGCCUACCAAGGCGACGAUCCUUAGCUGGUCUGAGAGGAUGAUCAGCCACACUGGGACUGAGACACGGCCCAGACUCCUACGGGAGGCAGCAGUGGGGAAUAUUGGACAAUGGGCGAAAGCCUGAUCCAGCAAUGCCGCGUGAGUGAUGAAGGCCUUAGGGUUGUAAAGCUCUUUUACCAGGGAUGAUAAUGACAGUACCUGGAGAAUAAGCUCCGGCUAACUCCGUGCCAGCAGCCGCGGUAAUACGGAGGGAGCUAGCGUUGUUCGGAAUUACUGGGCGUAAAGCGCGCGUAGGCGGUUACUCAAGUCAGAGGUGAAAGCCCGGGGCUCAACCCCGGAACUGCCUUUGAAACUAGGUGACUAGAAUCUUGGAGAGGUCAGUGGAAUUCCGAGUGUAGAGGUGAAAUUCGUAGAUAUUCGGAAGAACACCAGUGGCGAAGGCGACUGACUGGACAAGUAUUGACGCUGAGGUGCGAAAGCGUGGGGAGCAAACAGG